rnacentral:rRNA from 1 species
UACGUAGGGUGCAAGCGUUGUCCGGAAUUAUUGGGCGUAAAGAGCUCGUAGGCGGUUUGUCGCGUCUGCUGUGAAAACUCGGGGCUUAACCCCGGGCCUGCAGUGGGUACGGGCAGACUAGAGUGCGGUAGGGGAGACUGGAAUUCCUGGUGUAGUGGUGAAAUGCGUAGAUAUCGGGAGGAACACCAGUGGCGAAGGCGACUACCUGGCCUGUUCUUGACGCUGAGGCGCGAAAGCUAGGGGAGCAAACGGGG